rnacentral:tRNA from 1 species
GCCUCGGUAGCGCAUUAGGCAGCGCGUCAGUCUCAUAAUCUGAAGGUCGUGAGUUCGAACCUCACUCUGGGCA